rnacentral:sRNA from 1 species
UGCUAGUGUCUUGAUCGAACUGCCAAGGAGUUCUAUGUUAUUAGCGUAUCAUCACCUCUUCUCAACGUGAAAGAGCCACCUGGAGCUUGACUUGCUGAGCCUCGAAAAUAUUUUGGCAUUUGAUUGGGAGUUUCGUAACUGGAUAUAUUGCCUGUUGGAGUUUGUUGCUCAAUCAAUGAAAGCCAUCAAGUGCCUCUCAACAUGACAUGAAAGUCGUCAACCAAGGACGAUCGGAAUUAUAGUUCUUGAUCGACUGUCGAGAGAGAAUGGUUUACGAGGAAGUAAGCACCAAAGAGAGAUCGAUCGGAGCUUAUUCUGAGAAGGCCCUCCGCUAUGCGGGUUGGCCUAGAUGAGUUUCAUAUCUACCAACACUCAGAGCUCCAGCCUACGAUCAUUCUUUGUGUCUCUCUGGUUAGCUGUCGACUGAGUCGUCCACCAGGAAAUCCAGGAAAUCCAGGAAAUCGAGUUUCCCUUCCUCGACGCAUUGUAUAGCCAGUUUCGGACACAGUGGUUCAGUGCAACCGUUCAUCCUCCACGCAAGCCACAAAAUCGUCACAGAUACACAAGAACCUCCCGGGGCGUCCUCCGGUACCGCAGAAGUUGGCAUAUAUUCCAAUUUCCAACUGACCUCCGUGGGUAGAAUCCGGUUUUCCUGAAAGAACUUGGCUUCGGUUCUAAUGAGGACGGUUUGUGACACAAUUCGGAUGCGCUUGUUUCCCUACACCUCUCAUAGCCGACCUGACAUCUGAUGGACGCUGGAAAAUUCAGACAAUCAAGAAGAUUUUAAGGAGAUGGGCGCCAGGUUCAGGAGAUAUUCCAUCUGUUUCACAUUUUCUCGGUCUCCAGCAGGGUAUGGUGUACAAUUACCGAUUCAAGAACUGCCAUGAACGGAUAUGAACGGAUAGAAGAGAUUGAAUCUCGAUAUCCAAUAACAAAAAAAAUAUCCUGCAGAACCACCGCUAUCGAUUCGAUAGCAGCUGGAAUGGGUAAAACCAUAUGUUUUGGCCAUUGAAUCCAGAUCUACUUUAGAUGUUUUGCCACAGUUCCGGAAAACGCUGGCGAGAUCUGUGCUACCCGAUGGCUGUAUGCAGGAUAUCCAGCGCAAUUUGGAUGUCUUUCCCUGUCUCAUUGAAUGAAAUGAGAAUAAAAACAUUACAAAAAUGAGGCAGUUCCCUACAGAACUUUCCAGGUCGUUGGUCGUUGCUUGAUCCAGAUUUAAUAUCAUCUACCGCUCCAAGAGCUGGGUAAUAAAGCACAAAUAUAGAUGUUAUUCGCUUGCAAGGGAUUAGAUUGAGCGGAGAUGAAAAAAUUAUAUUGAUAGUCGGAUAGGUGGACAGUUGUCAGUUGUCAGUUAGCGGUUGUCGACUCCCAUAUUGACCCUCUCGAACGCCUCUGUUCCUGAUAUGUCGUUCGCUCAUUUAUCAGGACACAGCGAAAGAAAGUUCAGAAAAAAAUAAUAAAAAUAAUUAAAAAAUCGCAUACAAGUUCCGGUUGUUCCUUUCAGACCCUCCUAAACACGAUCGGCUGCACACCUCCGUCCGGAAACAAAUUCUUUUUCUUUCUCCUCCGAUUUUCGUGUUUCACGUCCUUAGACGCCAGCUCGCCGUCCGCUUCAUACCAUACACCCUCGUCCAAUGAUGUUUCGUAUUCUCUGUAUAUACUGGCCGUCACCUGACGCAUGAUAGCCCACGCGACGCUAUUUAAAUCCCAGCAAUCAAGAGUCAGAAAUAAAUGAUGAUAAUUAGAUAGUAUAAACAGCAUUUACAUUACAGACCA